UUACAUCCACACAACCAUGAGCAUUUUCUUUGCUUUUUUCUUUUUUUUUUCUUUUUCUUUGCUCUAUGGUUUCAAGGGUGAUUUCUUUUUCUUGUUUCUUUUCAUAUUUUCACCCUUUCAUAAAAACUUACUUUUCCAAGUUUCUAAUCAACUUUUCACUUUACUCUCCCCGACUUUAGAUUCCAAAACCAAAUUUAUUCAAUAAUGCUCCCUACUUAGAAAUAAGCAAAAGGCAAAAUUUGCAACAACUCG
rnacentral:lncRNA from 1 species